rnacentral:rRNA from 1 species
UACGAAGGGGGCUAGCGUUGUUCGGAAUUACUGGGCGUAAAGCGCACGUAGGCGGGUUGUUAAGUCAGGGGUGAAAUCCCGGAGCUCAACUCCGGAACUGCCUUUGAUACUGGCAACCUAGAGGCUGGAAGAGGUUAGUGGAAUUCCCAGUGUAGAGGUGAAAUUCGUAGAUAUUGGGAAGAACACCAGUGGCGAAGGCGACUAACUGGUCCAGUACUGACGCUGAGGUGCGAAAGCGUGGGGAGCAAACAGG